GGGACACGUGGUAUCCUGUCUGAAUAUGGGGGGACCAUCCUCCAAGGCUAAAUACUCCUGACUGACCGAUAGUGAACCAGUACCGUGAGGGAAAGGCGAAAAGAACCCCGGCGAGGGGAGUGAAAAAGAACCUGAAACCGUGUACGUACAAGCAGUGGGAGCCUCUUAAUGGGGUGACUGCGUACCUUUUGUAUAAUGGGUCAGCGACUUAUAUUCUGUAGCAAGGUUAACCGAAUAGGGGAGCCGAAGGG
rnacentral:rRNA from 1 species